rnacentral:rRNA from 1 species
AACGGCGAGUGAAGCGGCAAAAGCUCAAAUUUGAAAUCUGGCUCCUUCGGGGCCCGAGUUGUAAUUUGCAGAGGAUGCUUCGGGCGUGGCCGCGGUCUAAGUCCCCUGGAACGGGGCGUCGCAGAGGGUGAGAAUCCCGUCUUCGGCCGGCCGGCUUCGCCCGUGUGAAGCUCCUUCGACGAGUCGAGUUGUUUGGGAAUGCAGCUCUAAAUGGGUGGUAAAUUUCAUCUAAAGCUAAAUAUUGGUCGGAGACCGAUAGCGCACAAGUAGAGUGAUCGAAAGAUGAAAAGCACUUUGAAAAGAGAGUUAAACAGCAUGUGAAAUUGUUGAAAGGGAAGCGCUUGCGACCAGAGUCGGCCGCGGGGGUUCAGCGGGCAUUCGUUGCCCGUGCACUCCCCCGCGGGCGGGCCAGCGUCGGUUUUGACGGCCGGUCAAAGGCCCCCGGAAUGUGUCGCCUCUCGGGGCGUCUUAUAGCCGGGGGUGCAAUGCGGCCAGUCGGGACCGAGGAACGCGCUUCGGCACGGACGCUGGCUUAAUGGUCGUAAGCGACCCGUCUUGAAACACGGACCAAGGAGUCUAACAUCCACGCGAGUGUUCGGGUGUCAAACCCGUCCGCGCAGUGAAAGCGAACGGAGGUGGGAACCCUUAAGGGUGCACCAUCGACCGAUCCUGAAGUCUUCGGAUGGAUUUGAGUAAGAGCGUGGCUGUUGGGACCCGAAAGAUGGUGAACUAUGCCUGAAUAGGGUGAAGCCAGAGGAAACUCUGGUGGAGGCUCGCAGCGGUUCUGACGUGCAAAUCGAUCGUCAAAUUU